GAUGAACGCUAGCGGGAGGCCUAAUACAUGCAAGUCGAGCGGUAGAGUGACUUCGGUUGCUUGAGAGCGGCGAACGGGUGAGUAACGCGUACACAAUCUACCUUUAAGAGGGGAAUAGCCCUGGGAAACUGGGAUUAAUGCCCCAUGGCAUCACGAAGUGGCAUCGCUUUGUGAUUAAAGCUGAGGUGCUUAGAGAUGAGUGUGCGUCUGAUUAGCUAGUUGGUGCGGUAACGGCGCACCAAGGCGACGAUCAGUAGGGGGCGUGAGAGCGUGGACCCCCACACGGGUACUGAGACACGGACCCGACUCCUACGGGAGGCAGCAGUAAGGAAAUUGGUCAAUGGAGGAAACUCUGAACCAGCCAUCCCGCGUGCAGGAAGAAUGCCCUAUGGGUUGUAAACUGCUUUUUAUCUGGGAAGAAAAGUCGGCAUUUAUGCUGAUCUGACGGUACCAGAGGAAUAAGCACCGGCUAACUCCGUGCCAGCAGCCGCGGUAA
rnacentral:rRNA from 1 species